rnacentral:rRNA from 1 species
CCUACGGGAGGCAGCAGUGAGGAAUAUUGGUCAAUGGGCGCGAGCCUGAACCAGCCAAGUAGCGUGAAGGAUGACUGCCCUACGGGUUGUAAACUUCUUUUAUAAAGGAGUAAAGUGAGGCACGUGUGCCUUUUUGUAUGUACUUUAUGAAUAAGGAUCGGCUAACUCCGUGCCAACAGCCGCGGUAAUACGGAGGAUCCGAGCGUUAUCCGGAUUUAUUGGGUUUAAAGGGAGCGUAGAUGGGGUGUUAAGUCAGUUGUGAAAGUUUGCGGCUCAACCGGAAAAUUGCAAUUGAUACUGGCCGGCUUGAGUACAGUUGAGGUAGGCGGAAUGCGUGGUGUAGCGGUGAAAUGCUUAGAUAUCACGAAGAACGCCGAUUGCGAAGGCAGCUUACUAAGCUGCCACUGACAUUGAUGCUCGAAAGUGUGGGGAUCAAACAGGAUUAGAUACCCGAGUAGUC